GUGUGAUGCAGGUUACUGAUCAUACAAGAGAUCUUGAAGAGAUGCAGAAUGUCUCAAAGAGAAGAAUACCUUGCAUCUCUGCAUAGGCUCACAUUCGUGGCUAUGGGCUCCUGCAUUCAAUUCAGCUGUUCCUUUCUCUACUACAUCACCUUUUAAGCUACCUUCCAAGUUCUGAACAGAAUCCUCUUGUUCCAGGGUACUCUUUUUCAUAUUUUCACUUGAAGAUUCUGCCUCCAUUUCUUCAGGUGUUACAUCUAGAAGUUGUUCAAGCUUCUCAUUUGCAUCUCUCUGGAAGACUGGUUCCAACUCUUCUCCACCUUUUGCUGUUUCCUUCAC